rnacentral:rRNA from 1 species
CCUACGGGACGCAGCAGUAGGGAAUCUUCGGCAAUGGGCGAAAGCCUGACCGAGCAACGCCGCGUGAAUGAAGAAGGCCUUCGGGUUGUAAAAUUCUGUUAUAAGGGAAGAAAGGUGAUAGGAGGAAAUGACUAUCAAUUGACGGUACCUUAUGAGAAAGCCACGGCUAACUACGUGCCAGCAGCCGCGGUAAUACGUAGGAUCCGAGCAUUAUCCGGAGUGACUGGGUGUAAAGAGUUGCGUAGGUGGCAUAAUAAGUAGCUAGUGAAAUCUGGUGGCUCAACCAUUCAGACUAUUAGCUAAAC